UACGGGGGGGGCAAGCGUUGUUCGGAAUUACUGGGCGUAAAGGGCUCGUAGGCGGCCAACUAAGUCAGACGUGAAAUCCCUCAGCUUAACUGGGGAACUGCGUCUGAUACUGGAUGGCUUGGAUCCGGGAGAGGGAUGCGGAAUUCCAGGUGUAGCGGUGAAAUGCGUAGAUAUCAAGCAGAACACCUGCGGCGAAGGCGGCCUUCUGGACGAUGACUGACGCUGAGACGCGAAAGCGUGGGGAGCAAACAGG
rnacentral:rRNA from 1 species